AGGGAGGGAGGCUGCGGACCAGUGCGGGGAGGAGUUUGCGAGGGGAGGCGCUUACAGGACUCCCCCAGUUCUGUUAAGAGCUGGGCACAAAGAGCCCUUUGCACUCCAGCCUCAGGAGCGAGGAGCCGAGA
rfam:Rattus norvegicus chromosome 12, whole genome shotgun sequence.